rnacentral:rRNA from 1 species
GACGAACGCUGGCGGCGUGCCUAAUACAUGCAAGUAGGACGCAGUUGCGAACGGGUGAGUAACGCGUAGGUAACUACCUAUUAGAGGGGGAUAACUAUUGGAAACGAUAGCUAAUACCGCAUACUAGUAGAUGGACCUGCGUUGUAUUAGCUAGUAGGUAGGGUAAUGGCCUACCUAGGCAACGAUACAUAGCCGACCCGGGGGGGGGUACGGGCACAAUGGGAGUGGGAAACGGCCCAGAAUCCUUCGGGAGGGAGCAGGAGGGAAAUUUCGGAAAUGGGGGGAACCCUGACCGAGCAACGCCGCGUGAGUGAAGAAGGUUUUCGGAUCGGAAAGCUCUGUUGGUAAGGAAGCGGUACUUAACCAGAAAGGGACGGCUAACUACGUGCCAGCAGCCGCGGUAAUAC